rnacentral:misc_RNA from 1 species
GUGAAUCAUCAAAUUUUUGAACGCAAAUUGCACUCCCUGGUAUUCCGGGGAGUAUGCCUGUUUGAGGGUCGUCAGAAUAAAAAAUCGAGGCGUCGCUCUUUUUUUUGAGGGUGAUCGCGUCGGAAUUGAGCCGUCUUUCAAAUGUUAAUUCAUGUCAAAAUUGCUUGAAAUUCAUCCAUCCGUUAUGAUUAUGUCGUC